UAGGGAAUCUUCGGCAAUGGACGAAAGUCUGACCGAGCAACGCCGCGUGAGUGAAGAAGGUUUUCGGAUCGUAAAACUCUGUUGUUAGAGAAGAACAAGGACGUUAGUAACUGAACGUCCCCUGACGGUAUCUAACCAGAAAGCCACGGCUAACUACGUGCCAGCAGCCGCUGUAAUACGUCGGUGGCAAGCGUUGUCCGGAUUUAUUGGGCGUAAAGCGAGCGCAGGCGGUUUCUUAAGUCUGAUGUGAAAGCCCCCGGCUCAACCGGGGAGGGUCAUUGGAAACUGGGAGACUUGAGUGCAGAAGAGGAGAGUGGAAUUCCAUGUGUAGCGGUGAAAUGCGUAGAUAUAUGGAGGAACACCAGUGGCGAAGGCGGCUCUCUGGUCUGUAACUGACGCUGAGGCUCGAAAGCGUGGGGAGCAAACAGG
rnacentral:rRNA from 1 species